GCCAGAAGCAGAAGCACACUUCCCAUUGAAAUCCUGAUAAAUGUAUGUUGGUUAAAAUUGUUUUUAUUUUUAAAUAUUGUAUUGUUCUUUCAUUGUUCUUGUUCUUGUUGUUGUUGUUGUUGUUUUUGCACUACAAAUAAGACAUGUGCAGUGUGCUUAGGAAUUUGUUCGUUUUUUUUUUUUUUUUUAAAUGAAAAUCCGGCCCCUCAACAGUCUGAAGGAUUGUGGACCGGCCCUCUGCUUUAAAAGUUUGAGGAUCCCUGUACUAGAGUAUAAGCCUAGUUUUUCAGCCCUUUUUUAGGGCUGAAAAAGCUCCCUUCGGCUUAUACUCGAGUGAGGAUCUUGGCUGGCUUAUGUUCGGGUCGGCUUAUAAUCAAGUAUAUAGGCCAGGUAUGUUCUACCUGUGGACCCAAAAGAGGACCAUUCUUCUGGCCAGUGCCUCCAUCUCCCCUCCAUUACAGCUCCUUUUCUGGAUGUAAACCUCUGGACUGUAGCUCCCAUUGUGAAGCGGAGAGCAAAGCCGGAACCCACCUCUGAGGUCAUCCCACUAAGCAACCGGAAGCUUCCAUGACCCGGAGCUGGACACCACAGCACCAUUCUGCAAACAUUGCCCAAAAGAAGUGGACACAGGGCACUAAGAUGGAUGGGGC
rnacentral:lncRNA from 11 species